rnacentral:tRNA from 1 species
GGAGGGGUAGCGAAGCGGCUAAACGCGGCAGACUGUAAAUCUGUUCCCUAAGGGUUCGGCAGUUCGAAUCUGCCCCCCUCCACCA